UUGACCCCGGAUCAGGUAGGAAUCCCCGCUGAACUUAAGCAUAUCAAUAAGCGGAGGA
rnacentral:rRNA from 1 species